rnacentral:lncRNA from 1 species
AGGGAGGCGGAGCAAGGGGAGGACGACGAGUGGCUCCCAGAGCCGGAAGUGGAGGAUGGUGAGAGGCUGAAACCUAACAUCUGGUGGAGGAUUGCCUUCUCCACGACAGGACCUCCCUUAACGUCCCCUCCAAGCCACUGGGAGUGUGCCUGAAACACUGGCUUGAGCCCCAGGACUGAGGACCAGCAGAAGGACCACCAGCCUGUGGGUCCCAGCCCAUGAGGGCUGUCACACUUCCCCAGAUUCCAGGACCACAGCUCACGACACCACAGUUCACGUCAACGCCGGAUCCUUAACCCACUAAGUGAGGCCAGGGAUUGAACCCGAAACCUCACAGUUCCUAGUCGGAU